CAACUAAUGUAGAGUUGUUCCAGCUGAAUCAAAGAUUUCAAGUUUGAAUCUUUUAUAUAUGUAAUCACGUUAAAUACUCUAAGGGAGAGAUUUGUUGCCAUAGUAACUAUGUUCGACCCAAACAAGAUAUCCUCUAGUGGAGCUAGUGGAGGAAUCACCAUUAUUUUUAGUUGGGCUAAAAGCCUAAAACCCCAAACCCAUAUAUUGUCGAAAGAAUAGAGUAGCACUACUAUCAGAGUACCCUGCUAUGGCGAACACUAGCAAUGACGCUGGCGUCAAAGCCCUACGGCGGCUGAAAGCGACGGAACCACCAUCAUUUCUUGCUUCGAACCCAGCGCUGUCGGAUGUUGCUCGUACAGCAUCACAAUACUUGUUCUCUUCCCAAAAUCCGUUUUCCCCAAAAUCACCAGGAAGAUGACGAAGAAGAAAGUGAUAAGGUAUCUCCUAUUUUCUAACAGAAUUGGUCUCGGUAUUGCACAAACAUGGACACAAUCUUCCUCCCAUGGUGUUUCCUACAUUACAACAGCAACAUUGAUCCCGAAUCUUCAUCUUUUUUAGAAACAAAAGAGAGAAAGAAUUCAUUAUUACUAUUAGAGGCUUUGAAAAGCUCUUAUUUUUCUUGAUUCCACCACUUCAGUCAGGGAGCUAGCCCGCAUGGAUUAUUACUUUUGGCGAAUUAAUCUGAACCAUAUAUACUCUACAGUAGAACAAGGCUGAAAUUGGGUGCAUUAAAAGGAUAAACUCUAAUUCCAGUACCCAAUGAAGCAAAGGGUAUCUAAGUACAUAGCCAUGUGGAUGAGAUGUACACUUUACUUCCCCAUAUUUUCUUUUUCUUUACUGGCUAUGAUGAUUGUUGCGAUAAUUGUUUGAGUAGUUUAUUAACUUCUCUGGAUUCUUAGAAAUUAUUUUGAUUGUAUUUCUUUCAUUGAUUGAUUACUUUGACCACCUAAUUUUAUUGACAUUUGAAGUUGCAGCAUUGCCAGAACUUUUUAUAGAUGCUAAUUUUAAUGUUAUGUAGAACAUAAUAUGACUUACAUAAGUGAUAAAGAAAGGAAAAAUGAAAACGUAGUUUUCAGGAAUAACAUCACUAUAACAAGUGCAAGCAUACCUACUGCAGUUCAUUUUUAAUGGUCUCAAUAUGAUUUGUGCAGAUUAUGCUAUAUUCCAUUUUCGGGUUCCAGAUCCAAUUCGCAUGUGAUUAUCUUUUAUGGUGUCAAAUUUUGACUGAAUUUUGUGCUGAAUAACACACAAAAGAUUCCUGAUUUUCUUGCCUUCCAUCGUGGUCAUGAUUCGCUCUAUUCUCAGAUAUGACAUAAAUUGAAAUUUUAGAUUGUUGCUUCUAUGUGGCCACUAUUGAAUAUUGAUUAUCAUAUAUUCAUAUGAUAAAGAAAGCAUUAUAUUCAUAUGGUCUCUUUGCAGGCAAAGGGUGCAGGAUCUGUGCAGCUUCUUGAGAGGUUCACUGUCACAUUCAAAGCAAAUUGUUGAAACUACCAAUUACUUUAGCAUAACUGUUAGCUUUGGUAAUAAUUGAAAAAAACACUACUACCACUCUUCUGUAACAUUCUUAACCUGAUUUUUCCUUGUUGUUGGCUUGUUCAGGUACUUAUUUACUUCACUUACAAUUACAAGUUCAGUUUGAUUUAACCAUCUCUGGUGAUAAAGGAGUUCAUGGUAGUUCUUGUUUUAAUCUCUUAUGGAUAGGGUUUUUUAGUUUCUUCCUUGUCCCUUUGUCUUUUGCCUUGUUUGUUGCAGUAGAUGAACCAUCUUCAAGUUCUUCUUGUCUUGGGUUCACUACUUUGUAACCUUUGUUCUCUCCCACUACACAUAAUAUAACCUUCACAAACUUGACAUAGUUCUCUUUUAACAAAUUUUAAUUGAGAUCACUAUGACUUGUAAAACUUGAGAUGGACCUGUCUCAGCAUCCGAAUUUAACACUUGCUAAUGAUAAUUCAAUUCAAGUAAAUAAUCUCAAUAAAGUCAUGCUCAUACUGGUAUAUCCGUAUAUGCACUUAGAAACUGCAUCAAUAAUUUUAAAAUAACGAGUCAUGUCUUCUGUGAUUCUGUUGAUGAUUCUGAACCUUCAAUUCAACAUCUCUCUUAGGAUUUGUGUACUAGUAUUAAUUUUGAAACAACUCCUACAAGUCCUUGACGGCCUGAGCUUGAAGAAGAUAGGUCCCACACAAGCAUGAGUAUACACACUGUAGAGAUAUCUGCCCAAUAUGGCUCUGAAUUAAUCAUAACUCUUCUCAUGCUUUUAUUGCAAUAGUUCUCAGGUGUGUGCUUGUUGAUGCACCAAUAUUUCCAAUGUCUAUGUUUUUUUGGAAUUGGCCACAGGCCAUAUAGAUUAUAUUCAGGACUAGUUUAUAAAUUAUGUUAUUUCUCUUGUUAAUAAUCAAGAAGUGAAUUUAAAAGAGUGUUAAAACAUUAGGUUCAUAAGAUCUUUCUCUGUAUUUUAAAAAUAAGAUGCUUUUAAUACAAGGUAAGAAAUUUUAUUCUCGGGAAUCAUAUUUCCAAGAAUAUCAUGCUUGGGAAUAUUAUUCUAAUGAACAAAUUUGUCUGACAAUAGUCAUUUCUAGGAGUAUUGUGUAAAACCUUAGAGCCUCUUUGGCUCUGUUACUUUUAUUAAUCUCCCCCCAAAAUUCUCUAUUUCUAAACCAAAAAAACGAGAGGAAGAAUCAUCUAUUUGCUGCUAUUUCUUUUAUUUGAAUUCAGUCAGUUAGGCCCAUAUAUGCAGUGAUAAAGUCCUUUUUAGACACUCUUAUAUUCCUUUUUUCUUUUAUUUCUUCCUUCUAGAUUGUAAUUAGAUGCAAUUUAGUUAUUUGGAUGUCACUACUAAUGAUAAUCCAAUUAGAACUAGUGAGAAUCCAAGUACAAUAGAAAAGUUCACCGGAGGGAAUAAUCUAUAUUCUAUACUUCCUUAGGAAUUUGAGCUAAAAGCACACGGUACAUCCUUUAGUUCCGUAAUUUAAUGACAAUUAUUUUUCCAUAUAAAAUAUUUUAUAUCAUUGAGUAUAAUAAAGAGGAACAUUUCUCACCCAAUGGUCCUCGAAAUUUAAUAUGGUAACCAUCAUUGAAACCCAAGGAAAUAAAAGAUCUAAAAGAAGCAUAACCUUGAGAUGCGAAUGGGGCUAACAUGUGUUGCUUUAGGAUGCAAACUUCACUUUGGUUAGAGUUAAAAGAUUGGCUUUGUUACCUUCUAGGCUAUCAUUAGUCAUAACAAUUAGUUCUUUCAAGCUUCAACUUUUUUUUACUUUUGUUUUUAUUAAAUUUCUGACAAAAGAUUCAAGUAGGCAUAUCAUAUCAUAGUAGUUAUACAAAGAAGAGUUCUUUAAAAUGGAAACAAGAAAAAAUGUCACUUUUAUGAUGAAUGUCGUUGUUAGGUCUAGUCAAUAAGUUCUUUCAACUUUUUAUUUUUAACUUUAUUUUUAUUAAAUGUCUGACAAAGGAUUGAAGCAGGUAUAUCAUAUCAUAAUUAUACAAAGAAGAGUUCUUUAAAAUGGAAAAUGAGAAUAUAAAAAAUCUAUCACUUUUAUGAUGAAUGUUGUUGUCCGGUGUAGUUAGCUAUUUUUUUUGAUCAUUUUUCCUUCCUUGGUUUUAAGAGUACAAACAGUGUGGAUGUUGUUGAAGAUGUCUUAAUUGAUGGUGUCAGAACUUUGCCUCAAAACAAAUUGCUUUUGGAGGUAUGUCUGUAAUAGGUCUUUGUAAUCCAUCCAGUUGGGAAUUUUUCUCCAAAUGGUAUGUGUUAAAAUUAUUUAGUCAAGUUUCGAUUUUUUUUCUUUUUUGAUUUGGUUAUGCAAUCAUAUAGAGGAAUGAGAACGUAUUGAAUAGGUUAGUUUGACAAUUAUUGGUCCUAUUCUUAUUGUUUUUGUUGUGAUGUUAUAUUGAGUUUUUUAUUAAAAAAAAUGAAGGCUAUAUUUUUUUGGUGUUGUUUUUGUUGAUCUUUUGCCGCCCUAUCCAAUUGCAGUUAGAAAUGGUGGUAAUUUGAACUUUGAAGAACUAUUUGCUUUUUGGAGCCACAAAUACAUAUUGGGGGACAUCUAGAUUCAUUCGUGGGCCAGGUAUUAAAUUACAGAUGAUGAUAGAGCGAAAAGGUAGAGAAAAUCUUCAAAGUGCUACAAAGGAGGCUGCAAGAAGAUUACAUAGUUCUUGCUUACUCUCACCAUGAUGAUUAUACAUGUUGUGUAAAACCCAAACUAGAUCACCCAAAAAAGGCUGCAAGAAGUACUGUUGAAAAGGAGAAGACAACCUAUGGAAAGAGUGAAAGACUGCAAGCAAGUGGCUAAAAAUUUGUUCAAUUUCAACUUUUUUGCCUUAAAAUACAGAUUGUGACAGAGAGAAAAGAAGUAACAAAUUCGGGAAGUCUUACUCUAGAAAUAGUCCAGCAGAUUGAAGCUGAAGUAAAGAGACUGGAUCAACUAAAAUCAAGCAAGAUGAAGGAGCUAUUCUAGAAGAAGUGGAGGGAACUGGAAUUGAUAUGCAAGAAAUCACAUGUGGAGAUUCCUUCAAGGGAAGAGAUGAACAAUAUAAUCAACCUCAUAAACUCAGGGGAGAUUGAUCAUUCUGAUCUCCUCCUGAGCAUGGAUGAACAGAUAUCAAGAUCAAAAGAAGAGGCUUCUAUCAGGAAGGCUAUCAUGGAGAAAGUGGAGAAGUGGAAGUUAGCAUGUGAUGAGGAGCGCUGACUAGAAGAAUAUAGCACGAUUAGAAUUUUCAUUUGAAUUAAUAUUUAUAAAUAGGUUUAAAUGGUGAUUGUAUCUAUUGUAUUGUAUGUUUCACUAUCCAAGUGUGCUAUAUUAGGAUGAGCAUCGAGACUCAAUUAGUAGAGGAGCUCACAAAAACUUGAGACAUGCCAAAUGUGCCCGUAUAAUGGUCAGCAGAAUGCUAGGUACACACACAUAUGAUGGAAACAUAUAAUUUGGACCAAUUGGCAGCAAACACACUAUGCUUACAAACAAUUCAUAAAACCUUCUUCUGCUCCUAAGUCAAAGAAUCGUUUGGGAAGAAGGCACAUCAAUCCCUAUUCACAUUUUCAAUCCCCCAAUAAGACAAUUGUGACAUAAAAUAGCUCAACAAACAAUAACUCCCAGUUUAAUAAACACAAACCCCUUCAUUGACAAAAAACAAACAACAAAAAAAAAGCAGCUACACUACAAAGGGUGAUGAACCCUAAAUGAGACAUUGAAGGAAAAAAUCAUAAUACAAUUAAAAGAAGACUCACCAGAGAGUGAUGAACAAAGUGUGGAGAACAAAACCCUAGAGAAUAGAACAGAGCACGUGAGGGAGAACAAGAAUGAGCCACUGUGAGAGAGAAGAACCCACCGCAGAGAGAGCGAACCGAGUGAGGGAGAACGA